UCAUGUUUUGUUUACUGCUGUGCUCUGUACUGGCUUUGCUGGCAUGCAUCCCACAUUUUUUGGGGUUUUGUUUGCCCCACCAAGAUUUACAUGCUAAAAUCACCACUGGUUGCAAUAUAUAACUUUUUGGGCAACCUCACCAAUUUCACAUACAACUGUGAGUUAUAGAUCUGUCAUUCUUGUUGAAAGCCAGUCUAAAAGCAGUAGAUCUGUUCUAUGUGUACUUUUCUAUGCUUCACGUCCUUAAUUUUUGUUUUUGUGUCUUUUACUUAGAACUUAUAGCCACUUUGGCUUCAUAAACCACCAGAAGCUACUGUUUACCACAAAGAGCAUUUGAUUCUGUCUCAUCUCCUCUACCUUUGUCACAUCUACUCCUGCUCCUGCUCCUCCCCUCCAGCGUUUGACGUCGCCGGUUUACUAACCACCGGUCCUGGGAACCAUCAUUACGCGCACCUGGCAUUCAUCACUAUGCUAACCUGUACUCCAUUACCUCACUUAUUACCUCCCCUUUAUCUGGCACUCCCUUAGGAGUAUUAAUACAGUAUUGUAUUAUUUUGUUCAUGUCUAGACGUGACUCCUACGUUGUAUUUGCCCAUGUUACUUGCUAUAUUAAAUUUACCCCCUGCUUCUCGACUCCCAGCAUCUAGGUUACAGAAUACUGCCUCACAAAAUGGAAGCAGCAGACGGUCGACGAGCAGGGAUACCUACUUUGUCAACACCACGACCAGCUGGCACAAUUGGGGACGGCUAUGGAAGAGGCUCUUCGCAGUGUUCAACAUCUCGAACAUACCCGAGAGGCGUUGCCUUCAACUAGCGGAGGAUACACUACCACCAGUCAACCUAGCACACCAGCCCAUUCAGCAAACUGUGCAGGUCAGCGAUGUCCCUCCCGGAUAAAUAUGACAGCACACCAUGUAAAUGCUGUGGCUUCCGACUACAGUACUCGCUCUACUUUUCGCACCAGAUGGGAGCUCCUACCACUGACAGGUCCAGGGUUGCCACAGUUAUUUCUCUGCUGACUGGGCGGGCAUUGGAAUGGGCCAUAGACGUCUGGGAGAGAGGAGGAACUGGAUUCGUAUGAGGGGUUCAUGGCUCGGUUCAGAGAUCUUCGAUCAUCCACUGGAGGGCAGAGAGAGGGGUGAGUGCCUACUCCAACUACGGAGGACCAGACGGCUGCCGAGUACGCGCUCACCUUCUGGACAGUAGCAGCAUCCAGCGGCUGGACUGUGCGAGAAGGUUCAGAUGGAACUGGCCUGUCGAUGACAACCUCUGCUUGAAAGCACUCAUCGCGAUGGCCAUCCACUUGGAUAACCUUCUUCGGGAGCAUCGGCACUCAUCGCUUCUCUCCCUCCCUCAGUGAAAACUUUGUAUCAGAGCCUGAACCCAUGGCGGUAGGGGUCACUUGCCUCCCCGCGGCAGAGCAAUGCAGACUGCGACAGCUGGGGCUGUCUCUAUUGUGGUCAAGGAGGGCACCUGCUCCAGCAGUGUCCGAUAUGGCCCAACUCGGAUCCACGAGAGUAGAGGGAUGUUCACGUGAUCUUUUACCUCCUGGGGCAGGUGUGAGUAUCCCCCUCAUCACUUUCUGCCAAACCCUUUUUGGUGGCGAUCGCACUAUUUGACUGUCCCUCAUGUACUGUUUCUACAGCAAUAAUGGAUUCCUGUGCCGCGGGGAACUUUAUUGACCAGACCCUUGCCUCUCAACUUCACCUCAUACCCGCUCUCCUCUCCUUUCGCGGUUCAAGCCCUCGAUAAUCAGCAACUAGGUUCCGGGACCAUCAGACACGUCAUCAAACCACUCACUGCGCCCCCACGCAGAUGCCGCUACCCUCUGUCGGUGGCUGAAACCCAGGCCAUGGAAGAGUACAUCCAUGAGGCGCUCCAACUAGGUUUCAUCCGCAGGUCCACUUCUCCUGUGUCAGCAGGUUAAUUCUUCAUGGCCAAGGAUGGAGGGUUACGCCCAUGUAUUGAUUAGAGGACUCAAUGAAGUCGCCACCAAGUACCGUUACCCUCUCCCAUUGGUGCCCGGCAGCUAUCAAAGAGCUCCGCGGGGCCCAGUUCUUUACCAAAUUGGACCUACGGAGUGCAUACAAUCUCAUCCGCAUCUGGGAGGGGAAUGAAUGGAAGACAGCUUUUAGCACAAUAUCUGGUCACUACGAGUGUUCCAGGCAUUCGUCAACGAGGUGUUUCGGGACAUGCUCUGACGCCAGGUGGUCGUGUAUAGCGACAUCCUGGUUUACUCGGCAACCUUGGAGGGUCACAUUGAGUGGAUGAUAAAUGAAGACCCCGAUGAGAGACCUACAGUGGAGUAAACCCUGACUCAUCCCUCCUUCUGGAAACCACAGAGGAGAGUUGGGAAUGAGAGGUCGGGAAGUGUCAUGAUGCUGACCCAGAGCUUCUCGACGUGCUGUGGAGAGAACCUUCUGUCAGUGGAGAUCCAAGCUGCCCUCUGCUUUGAUGAAAAAGAUGGCUGGCAGAAAGCCCUUCCCUGAGAACAUGUUGGGGUUACUACGCUUCAUACGCAACCUCCAUGAGCACUAUGCUGAGGAUUUAGCAUCUGACCUGAUGGUCCCUGAUCUCUUUGGAUGCGUCUACAUGUUGGCCAAGAAACAGGGGUGUGUCAAAAAAAGACAGUUAUGUUGCUCUUUGAUAGCCUUUAUUAUAUUGAGAGGUGCAUUAACAUUUUAGGGUGGUUAAUAGAAAACUGUUGAUGAUCAAACCUAGGUAGGAAACGGUUAUUAACAUUUUAUUUUGCAGUGUUUGGUAAUUUAGUAUGCAAAUAAUGAUGACUCUCCUACAUAGUUUGUCAAAUGCAGUGUACCUGCUGAGAGAUGGAGGGGAUGAGAGGUGAGAACAUCAAUCUCAUCUUCAUGUAUGACAUUACAUGCAAGAUCUAACCACAUGUGCAAGUAAUUAACCUUUGUUAUUCAAGAUCCCAUUUACUUUAACAUUUGAAUAGCAGUUUUCACACUUUUUUUAAAACAUUUUGUUAAACUUUUUAGAUAUACAUUCCUGAAUUGAAGCAUGGGACCAAAUCUGUCAGUUUUCCAUGCUUACGGACACGACUUGCCAUGUCGGGUACUUGAACAUGAUCAUUAAUAUUGUCACUAGGUAUUUAAUGUUUUUAAGGUUUAACUAAAUCCUUUUUGCCAUGGUAUGACAUGUUUUAUAUUUGUAGAUGAAAUUCAACACAAGAUGUGUUGAAGGUGCUGGACUGGGAAAUGGGAAGCAGAUGGAGAUGCUGUGGUCGUAUCUGAGGCACUUUGGGAAGGUCACUAGAUGACGCCGUCCCAUCGUAUUGACCUCCUGACUGAUGCCCUUCACCAUGGGAAAAGAUGUGCCAGAGGCAACUGGACGAAAGUUGCAACAGAAGCAGAAUGGAAAAUGGCAGAAAUUGCAGUCUCUAACAGGGCCCAGCAGGAAAGUGGAGAUGGAAUAGCUGUUGCUCAGCUUAUGCAGAUCGAAAACUGAAGACGAUGGAGAGGAAGAACGGCAUCCUCCAUCGAUGGUCCCCCACCAGCAGUCUCUUCCAGACUGCACUCCACAGACUGCAGAGUAACAGAUUGAAGACCAAUUUGGAAGGAACAUUCAGUCUGGUGCUAGAACGGAGGUUACUCUGUGGCCUGAAGAGAUAAUAUGCAGGAAAUAUAUAUUCAACAAUAGGAACAAGUCAACUCAUAUCAGUUCUAUGAUAUUUCUGGAUGGUCAAGGUAUUGCCAACCGCCUGUCCAAAAAGCUUGCCACGGUCGGUAGUAGCAUACUCUUUAAAAAAAAAACGUUUUUUAAGGACUACAACCUGAGACCAGGUUUUUCCUCACAGCUCUCACAAGUCCUGGUGUAUGAGGAUGCAGUGCAGGUGGACAGCACUGUUUGGUCCUGGAGAGCAGGAAGAGCAGAGGAUGAUGGGGAGUUUCACUUCAAGCAAAGGCUCUCUGUGCUCCAUUCCCUCAGAACGGGCGUGUGAAGAUAACUGGUACAUUGAGGAUGAAGCCAUCACUGCCAAGAAGUUCUACUCACAUGAGCAGGAACUGAUCGUGGAGGCCUUACAACAUUACACAGAGCAAGAUGGAUUUAGUCUUGGGGCAAGAGCUGUCCUUGCUGGAAUGCUUGCUGAGCAUCAGCAUGCAGAAGGACAAAGUGAAUUGUUCAGAAGUGCUUUUUUGAGGGCAGCGGUAUAAACAUUGAAGUGGAGGACAUUGAGGAAGUGGAUGAGGAUGAUGACUAUGAUGGGGAUUACGACAACGAUGGUGAUAUUGAUGGAGGAAAAAAUGUAUGAGGCUGAGUGUGUCUAAUUGUUGUUUGUUUCUUGUCCAUUCUGUUUUAAUGUAUGUAAUUCAGUGGUGUACAGUAUUUAAGUAAAAAAAGGGGGGUAAAAUGAAAAAAUAUUAAACAUACAACAAAAAUUGUAUGUUUUGUUAUUUUUGGGUUAAAGGAAGCACUCUGGCCAUUUCUGUUUAAUUGUUAGAUGUGAUAUAUAGGCCAUUCUUUCAUGUCAUUUACCAUUUAUGUCAUGGUGAGGGGAACCUGACGUGAACCUGCUAUACCCCAACCUGAGUCUAAUGCAAUAGACAGGUUUGCUUCCUCCAAAGUAUUGUAUUUUCAUUGACUUGUUAGUUGUGGAGUUUGUAAACAUCAAUUUAGAUAAUUUUGUAAAUAUUGUAAUUUGAACAUCUAAAUCACUGUUGUCAUUUUUAAAAUAAAUAACUUCUGCAUGUGAUCCUGCCUGCCUCCUGCAACAUUUAACCAUCCAAAAAUGGAUUUAGCAACAAAUGAUUCUAGCUUUAAGGAUUAAGUGUAAAUAUUACAGAGAAAAACAAAUAGAGAUCAAGCCUUGUAGACUCAUAAUUUCUGAUAACUAUACUUUGCUGGAUAGAGGAGACUCGAGGCCAUGGUGUGGUCGAAGUAGCACAUAAAUAAUUAUUCUGGUACAUGCAUUUAGGGCC